rnacentral:siRNA from 1 species
AACGCGCAGCUGAUCGAGGUCCUC